GUCACCUGGGGAUCUUGUUAAAAUGCUGAUUCUGAUUAAGUAGGUCUAACGUUGGGACUGAGAUGCUGCAUUUCUAACAAGCUCCCAGGUGACGCUGA
rnacentral:pre_miRNA from 1 species